UAAGCAUAUCAAUAAGCGGAGGAAAAGAAACCAACAGGGAUUGCCCUAGUAACGGCGAGUGAAGCGGCAACAGCUCAAAUUUGAAAUCUGGCUUCGGCCCGAGUUGUAAUUUGUAGAGGAUGCUUUGGGCGCGGCUCUAACUGAGUUCCCUGGAACGGGACGCCACAGAGGGUGAGAGCCCCGUAUAGUUAGAUGCCUAGCCUAUGUAAAGCUCCUUCGACGAGUCGAGUAGUUUGGGAAUGCUGCUCUAAAUGGGAGGUAAAUUUCUUCUAAAGCUAAAUAUUGGCCAGAGACCGAUAGCGCACAAGUAGAGUGAUCGAAAGAUGAAAAGCACUUUGAAAAGAGGGUUAAAUAGCACGUGAAAUUGUUGAAAGGGAAGCGCUUGUGACCAGACUUGCGCCGGGCAGAUCAUCCGGUGUUCUCACCGGUGCACUCUGCCCGGCUCAGGCCAGCAUCGGUUCUCGUGGGGGGAUAAAGGUCCCGGGAACGUAGCUCCUCCGGGAGUGUUAUAGCCCGGGGCGUAAUGCCCUCGUGGGGACCGAGGUUCGCGCAUCUGCAAGGAUGCUGGCGUAAUGGUCAUCAGCGACCCGUCUUGAAACACGGACCAAGGAGUCAAGGUUUUGCGCGAGUGUUUGGGUGUAAAACCCGCACGCGUAAUGAAAGUGAACGUAGGUGAGAGCUUCGGCGCAUCAUCGACCGAUCCUGAUGUAUUCGGAUGGAUUUGAGUAAGAGCGUUAAGCCUUGGACCCGAAAGAUGGUGAACUAUGCUUGGAUAGGGUGAAGCCAGAGGAAACUCUGGUGGAGGCUCGCAGCGGUUCUGACGUGCAAAUCGAUCGUCAAAUCUGAGCAUGGGGGCGAAAGACUAAUCGAACCAUCUAGUAGCUGGUUACCGCCGAAG
rnacentral:rRNA from 1 species